UGGCGACGGUAAUAAGAACGCGCGUUGUUGAUAUUUGGAGUGAAAUUAGGAAAAGUUACAGUAAAGAGAAGUGGGGUAGAAGUGAAAAAGCGUGGACGAAUAAAGUAGUGGGCGAGAAGUGUAGUAAAAAUGGGGGAAUAGAUAGAAACGGGAGAAGUAGAGAAUUAUAGGAAAAAGUAAACAGUGGAGGGAGCCUAACUUCUAGAGAAGGAAAGGUUAGCAAAAGAAGAAACAAGUAGACAGAGGUCAGAGGACAGGGCCCCUUGGCCAUGGAGUACAGGAGGAGAAGAGUGGCACUAGUCAACGCUAGUGUAGCAAAGAUGUCGUUGGCGACAAUAGAAGAAGAAAGAAAACCAUGCAAACGAAGAAAGGGGCAUGAAACGUCAUUGCAACAGCAAGAAAAAGAAAGAAGGAAAGAAUGAAUUAUUUUACGAGUAGAAGAAAAAGGUAGUAGAAAGAUUGUGAUAUAAAUACCAAAGACAUUGUAAAAAAUAAAGAAGAACCGAGGAAAGAAAGAGAAAAAGACGAAAGAAAGGUAUAUGAGCGGCCACAUUGUAUCGGUUAAGAUGAUUAGGUUUGAGAGCUGUAUAAGGAGGAAAGAGGAUGAAUUCAAAGUCGAUGUUUCAAAGAGGACACAAGAGAAGCGGAGAGUUUUCGACCAAAGAAUUCGAGAGAGAUUUUGAUAAAGUUGUUUAAGAAUUUGGUCGCAUAAAGAAGCGGUGCAAAGCAUGUAUUGAAAGGUGAUCCUCCGGACGAGGAACUCAUGGAUAAAGAAGAGAAGAUACGAUAAUGGAAAGACAAUGAGUAUGUAUAUCCCACAAAAGGAAUAGAUUUGUGACACAGAAGGAAGGAAGAACCUCGUGAAAGGAGAAGCAAGAAGAAAGAUGGGGAAAGAAAUUGAAAUUUGUGUUUAGAAUGAUAUUAUAUACUUCUAAUUUUUGUUCCGUUAUCGCAAGAAAAGUUUUAUAUUUUUCAUUUGUUUUUCAAUUUCAGGUUUAUGUUUAAAUAUUCUUCGAAAUUUAGAUAUAGAUUAGAGAUAGAUAGUAAAUGCGAGUCAGAGAACGAAUGAGUAAUCGAAGACAGUCGAAUUAAGUAUGCAAGGAUGAAUAAAACUGGAAAAAACUGUUAGCUAAGUAAAAUGUAAAAGAAUAUUCAUGUAAACGGAGAAUAAUGGUGUUAUAGGGCUUGAUGCGUGGCCCUACGCACUCGAAAUAAAUUUGAUCUGAAUCUAAAAAGGUGGUAUGUAUUAUCAGUGGAAAGAAAAUAUGGGUAGAACGAACCAAGCGAAUCACUCUAUUAAAUGAACUUUAUUUCACGAUUUUGUUGAUCAGGAAGAAUUCUUGGCGCACAGACAUAUGUAUAUCUCUAUUAAUUUGUUAAAAUCAACGUUGUCGUAUGCUCUCUUUACGUAUAGGAAAAUUCCCGCCGUUCCUUCCUUCUUUCUAUUAUUAUUUUUCAUGUCCAUCGAUAUCGUAUUUAAAUUAUCCAUAGAGUUUGUAUUUUUCCUGAACCCUGCUCGAGAUUCGUGUAUUAUUUUUUGAUUUUCUGCCAUAGAUUAAGAUAUGGGAAUUGUAACGAUAUAGAUGAAAAUAUGUUAAGUAAUUUGGGACAGAUUAUUAUUGGCUUGUCAAGGCAGGAGUGUUAUAUGUGUUAAUUGUUGUUCUUUCGCAUUUGAUAAAGUAAACCAAUACUAUUAUAUAGGAUCUUCCCCCGUGUAUAAAUUGUAAUAUAAUUUAUGCGAUUGUACGACGGGAAUGAAAAUGAGAAAAAUCAUUUUCUAGUUUAGAAAUAAGGAAGGAUUAUUAUGGAAAAUCUGUAUAAUU